rnacentral:rRNA from 1 species
GUAACAGGUCUUCGGAUGCUGACGAGUGGCGAACGGGUGAGUAAUACAUCGGAACGUGCCCAGUAAUGGGGGAUAGCUCGGCGAAAGCCGGAUUAAUACCGCAUACGCCCUGAGGGGGAAAGUGGGGGAUCGCAAGACCUCACGUUAUUGGAGCGGCCGAUGGCUGAUUAGCUAGUUGGUAGGGUAAAGGCCUACCAAGGCGACGAUCAGUAGCUGGUCUGAGAGGACGAUCAGCCACACUGGGACUGAGACACGGCCCAGACUCCUACGGGAGGCAGCAGUGGGGAAUUUUGGACAAUGGGGGAAACCCUGAUCCAGCAAUGCCGCGUGUGCGAAGAAGGCCUUCGGGUUGUAAAGCACUUUUGUCAGGGAAGAAAUCCUUUGGGCUAAUACCCUAGGGGGAUGACGGUACCUGAAGAAUAAGCACCGGCUAACUACGUGCCAGCAGCCGCGGUAAUACGUAGGGUGCAAGCGUUAAUCGGAAUUACUGGGCGUAAAGCGUGCGCAGGCGGUUGUGUAAGACAGGUGUGAAAUCCCCGGGCUUAACCUGGGAAUUGCAUUUGUGACUGCACGACUAGAGUGUGUCAGAGGGGGGUGGAAUUCCACGUGUAGCAGUGAAAUGCGUAGAUAUGUGGAGGAACACCAAUGGCGAAGGCAGCCCCCUGGGGUAACACUGACGCUCAUGC